GAUGUUCAUUCAGUUUUAGGUCUUGGCUCUGGCUGGGCAACUCAAGGACAUGCCCAGAGUUGUCAAGAUGCCACUCCUUUGAUAUCUUGGCUGUGUACUUAAGGUCACUGUCCUGCUGAAAGAUGAAACUCAGUCU